rnacentral:rRNA from 1 species
GAUGAACGCUGGCGGCGUGCCUAAUACAUGCAAGUCGAGCGAACAGACGAGGAGCUUGCUCCUCUGGCGUUAGCGGCGGACGGGUGAGUAACACGUGGAUAACCUACCUAUAAGACUGGGAUAACUUCGGGAAACCGGAGCUAAUACCGGAUAAUAUAUUGAACCGCAUGGUUCAAUAGUGAAAGACGGUUUUGCUGUCACUUAUAGAUGGAUCCGCGCCGCAUUAGCUAGUUGGUAAGGUAACGGCUUACCAAGGCAACGAUGCGUAGCCGACCUGAGAGGGUGAUCGGCCACACUGGAACUGAGACACGGUCCAGACUCCUACGGGAGGCAGCAGUAGGGAAUCUUCCGCAAUGGGCGAAAGCCUGACGGAGCAACGCCGCGUGAGUGAUGAAGGUCUUCGGAUCGUAAAACUCUGUUACUAGGGAAGAACAAAUGUGUAAGUAACUAUGCACGUCUUGACGGUACCUAAUCAGAAAGCCACGGCUAACUACGUG